rnacentral:lncRNA from 10 species
UUCACAUCUGCCAACAAGGCAGCCAAGAGAGUGGUUUAGGAAGUAGAGAAAAGGUGAAAAGGCAGCGGAGUGAGCCAGCUGUCCUGUCUCUCCUCUUUUUCCUGCCCCCGAUGACUUGCAUUUUCUCUGCGACAGCUGUCAUUCUGGUCUCCCAGCCAUUCUUAGGAAGAGACGUGCCUGGCUCCGGGAAGGGGCAACUUCUCUGUUAAGUAAUGAAGAAAAAGCUCAAGAAGUGUCCUGAACAGCAGCAGCUGUGGGUGGGGAAUGUUGAAUGUCUGGGAGACUGAGAGCUGGCCCAAGUUUUUGAAUGAAGACUUCUGUGCUAAAGAGGAUCUAAGCAGCCAUGUCACGGCACCAAGUGCUCCCUGGAGGCCUUCAUUGACUAGAGCAAUUCUACUUUAAAAAAAACUAUAUUCCAAUUGCAAGCAAGAUGGCCGAAUAGGAGCAGCUCCAGUCUCCAACUCCCAGCGCCAGCGACACAGAAGACCGGUGAUUUCGGCAUUUUCAACUGAGGUACUGGGUUCAUCUCACUGGGGAGUGCCGGACGAUCGGUACUGGUCAGCUGCUGCAGCCCGACCAGCGAGAGCUGAAGCAGGGCGAGGCAUUGCCUCACCUGGGAAGCGCAAGGGGGAAGGGAAUCCCUUUUCCUAGCCAGGGGAACUGAGACACACAACACCUGGAGAAUCGGGUAACUCCCACCCCAAUACUGCGCUUUGAGCAAACAGGCACACCAGGAGAUCAUAUCCCACACCUGGCCGGGAGGGUCCCACACCCACGGAGCCUCCCUCAUUGCUAUCACAGCAGUCUGUGAUCUACCGGCAAGGCAGCAGCGAGGCUGGGGGAGGGGCGCCCGCCAUUGCUGAGGCUUAAGUAGGUAAACAAAGCUGCUGGGAAGCUCGAACUGGGUGGAGCUCACAGCAGCUCAAGGAAACCUGCCUGUCUCUGUAGACUCCACCUCUGGGGGCAGGGCACAGUAAACAAUAACAAAGCAGCAGACACCUCUGCAGACGCAACGACUCUGUCUGACAGCUUU